AAACUACACCAUCAUGCACUUAGAUCUCGCCUCAUUGGACAGCGUCCGCCAAUUCGUCGACCGUUACAAGCGAUCGGGGAGGCCUCUUAAUGUGCUUGUUUGCAAUGCUGCUGUUUACCAGCCAACUGCCAAGGAACCCUCUUUCACAGCUGAAGGAUUUGAGCUUAGUGUGGGAACUAACCAUCUUGGUCACUUUCUUCUUUCCCGGUUGUUGCUUGAUGACCUGAAGCAAUCUGAUUAUCCUUCAAAGCGUCUCAUUAUCGUUGGUUCGAUUACAGG
rnacentral:lncRNA from 1 species